rnacentral:rRNA from 1 species
AGUGAACGCUGGCGGUAGGCCUAACACAUGCAAGUCGAACGGCAGCACAGGAGAGCUUGCUCUCUAGGUGGCGAGUGGCGGACGGGUGAGGAAUACAUCGGAAUCUGCCCAGUCGUGGGGGAUAACGUAGGGAAACUUACGCUAAUACCGCAUACGACCUUCGGGUGAAAGAGGGGGAUCGCAAGACCUCUCGCGAUUGGAUGAGCCGAUGUCGGAUUAGCUAGUUAGCGGGGUAAUGGCCCACCAAGGCGACGAUCCGUAGCUGGUCUGAGAGGAUGAUCAGCCACACUGGAACUGAGACACGGUCCAGACUCCUACGGGAGGCAGCAGUGGGGAAUAUUGGACAAUGGGCGCAAGCCUGAUCCAGCCAUACCGCGUGGGUGAAGAAGGCCUUCGGGUUGUAAAGCCCUUUUGUUGGGAAAGAAAUCUUUCAGGCUAAUGCCCUGGGAGGAUGACGGUACCCAAAGAAUAAGCACCGGCUAACUUCGUG